rnacentral:rRNA from 1 species
UACGUAGGGUGCGAGCGUUGUCCGGAAUUAUUGGGCCUAAAGCAUCCGUAGCCGGUUCUACAAGUCUUCCGUUAAAUCCACCUGCUUAACAGAUGGGCUGCGGAAGAUACUAUAGAGCUAGGAGGCGGGAGAGGCAAGCGGUACUCGAUGGGUAGGGGGUAAAAUCCGUUGAUCCAUUGAAGACCACCAGUGGCGAAGGCGGCUUGCCAGAACGCGCUCGACGGUGAGGGAUGAAAGCUGGGGGAGCAAACCGG